CCUGCUGUACGACCAGCAGUAGCCUAGGAGGACAUGCGUCACUGGCAACGGUGGGGUGUGAAGCUUCUCUGACAAUGUAGCCCCCGGCGGUUUCGGGCGGAUGAAUACCGUGAGGUGGUCAUCUGGCGACUCCUAGCAGCAAUGGGGUCAAGGAG
rnacentral:ncRNA from 1 species